UGGGGAAUUUUGGACAAUGGGCGCAAGCCUGAUCCAGCCAUGCCGCGUGUGUGAAGAAGGCCUUCGGGUUGUAAAGCACUUUCGGCCGGAACGAAAUCGCGCGGGCGAAUAUCCCGCGUGGAUGACGGUACCGGAAGAAGAAGCACCGGCUAACUACGUGCCAGCAGCCGCGGUAAUACGUAGGGUGCGAGCGUUAAUCGGAAUUACUGGGCGUAAAGUGUGCGCAGGCGGCCGAGCAAGUCGAGUGUGAAAUCCCCGGGCUUAACUUGGGAAUUGCGCUCGAAACUACUUGGCUGGAGUGUGGCAGAGGAAGGUGGAAUUCCACGUGUAGCGGUGAAAUGCGUAGAGAUGUGGAGGAACACCGAUGGCGAAGGCAGCCUUCUGGGCCAACACUGACGCUCAUGCACGAAAGCGUGGGGAGCAAACAGGAUUAGAUACCCUGGUAGUCCACGCCCUAAACGAUGAUGACUAGUUGUUGGGGGAGUUAAAUCCCUUA
rnacentral:rRNA from 1 species